rnacentral:rRNA from 1 species
UGGGGGAUAUUGCACAAUGGGCGAAAGCCUGAUGCAGCGACGCCGCGUGGGGGAUGAAGGCCUUCGGGUUGUAAACUUCUUUUGCUCUGAACAAGGCGCACCAUGGGGUGUGUUGAGUGUAGGGGUUGAUUAGCGCCGGCUAACUACGUGCCAGCAGCCGCGGUAAUACGUAGGGCGCGAGCGUUGUCCGGAAUUAUUGGGCGUAAAGGGCUUGUAGGUGUCUGGUUGCGUCUGUCGUGAAAGCUCAUGGCUUAACUGUGGGUUUGCGGUGGGUACGGGCUGGCUUGAGUGCAGUAGGGGAGGCUGGAAUUCCUGGUGUAGCGGUGGAAUGCGCAGAUAUCAGGAGGAAUACCGGUGGCGAAGGCGGGUCUCUGGGCUGUUACUGACACUGAGGAGCGAAAGCAUGGGGAGCGAACAGG